GAUGAACGCUGGCGGCGUGCUUAACACAUGCAAGUCGAACGAAGCACCUUGAUUUGAUUCCUCGGAUGAAGAUCUUGGUGACUGAGUGGCGGACGGGUGAGUAACGCGUGGGUAACCUGCCUCAUACAGGGGGAUAACAGUUAGAAAUGACUGCUAAUACCGCAUAAGACCACAGCACCGCAUGGUGCAGGGGUAAAAACUCCGGUGGUAUGAGAUGGACCCGCGUCUGAUUAGGUAGUUGGUGGGGUAACGGCCUACCAAGCCGACGAUCAGUAGCCGACCUGAGAGGGUGACCGGCCACAUUGGGACUGAGACACGGCCCAAACUCCUACGGGAGGCAGCAGUGGGGAAUAUUGCACAAUGGGGGAAACCCUGAUGCAGCGACGCCGCGUGAGCGAUGAAGUAUUUCGGUAUGUAAAGCUCUAUCAGCAGGGAAGAAAAUGACGGUACCUGACUAAGAAGCACCGGCUAAAUACGUGCCAGCAGCCGCCGUAAUAC
rnacentral:rRNA from 1 species